GACGAACGCUGGCGGCGUGCUUAACACAUGCAAGUCGAACGGAAAGGCCCUGCUUGCAGGGUACUCGAGUGGCGAACGGGUGAGUAGCACGUGGGUGAUCUGCCUUGCACUUCGGGAUAAGCCUGGGAAACUGGGUCUAAUACCGGAUAGGAGCCAUUUUUAGUGUGAUGGUUGGAAAGUUUUUUCGGUGUAGGAUGAGCUCGCGGCCUAUCAGCUUGUUGGUGGGGUAAUGGCCUACCAAGGCGGCGACGGGUAGCCGGCCUGAGAGGGUGGACGGCCACAUUGGGACUGAGAUACGGCCCAGACGCCUACGGGAGGCAGCAGUGGGGAAGCUUGCACCAUGGGCGCAAGCCUGAUGCAGCGACGCUGCGUGGGGGAUGACGGCCUUCGGGUUGUAAACUCCUUUCGCUAGGGACGAAGCUUUUUGUGACGGUACCUAGAUAAGAAGCACCGGCUAACUACGUG
rnacentral:rRNA from 1 species